rnacentral:lncRNA from 1 species
UUCCUUUUCAAUUUUUGAUCAAGGUCCUUGGUAUUAAUAACAUCAUUAAUUAUUUCAAUAAUAAAAUAUUUUUUAUUUCUAAAUAUAUUCAUUUAAUGUUAAAAAUGUUACAAUUAGUAUAUUUAUAUUUAUAGUUAAAUUUUUUAUCAUAUAUUUUUAUUUUUAUUUUUAGUUUGUACCCAUUUUUAAUUUGUACCAAUUUUCUUUUUAGUUUUAAUUUGUACCCAUAUAUUAAUUUCUUUUUAUGCCCAUAUUUUUUAAAGUUUUAUUUGUAUUUGUACCCAUUUUUAUUUUUUCUAAAUGUACCCAUGCUAAUUAUAUGUACCAAUUCAUGUAAUUUUUUCAAAUUUUUAAUCUUAAAAUGUACUCAUUCUUAAAUAUACCAAUUUGUUAUAUGUAA